AUCGGCCGAGCAGGUACUUGGCGUACUCGGGGUCGAUGGUCGGGUCGACGGUGGGGUAGAGUCGUCCCACGAGGUUGACACAGUGCACUCGGCCGACGGAGUGAGCUCCUGCGACGACCAAGAGGAACGACGUGAAGACAUCUCAAGGGACGAAGAUCAGCGAGGCCGUGAAGCUGUCGCACCUAAAAGAGCCACUGUUCGUUCUGCAUCGAUUCCUAUGGAUCUGAACCGAGAGAGCACGAGGGAGAUGGAGUCGUUGUGGUUGGGGAUGUCCUUGUCUAUCACGUCGGCGUGGCUUUCCUUGCUAUCUCGUCUGCCGGUCCUCAUCGGAAUGAAUGGUCCUCCCAGCUAUCGGCAUUGACCGGAGAAAGCAUCAGUAGUAGAAGAGAUCGACGACGGCGACCUCAGCAAAGCAUGCAGGAAAGAUAUUUAGGACGAAACAGGCGUACCAUGACGACACCUUCUCUUGCAGAGAGAGCGAUGAUAUCUGCACAGGAGACGGUGGCGGGGCAUUCCUUCUCGAGCGCCUCCUUGAUGGGGGCGACGUACUUAAAGUUCCUCAUCCCGAAGCUCCGGUCGGCCGACUGCUCCGAGAUCAA
rnacentral:lncRNA from 1 species